rnacentral:rRNA from 1 species
UACGUAGGGUGCAAGCGUUGUCCGGAAUUAUUGGGCGUAAAGAGCUCGUAGGCGGUCUGUCACGUCGGCUGUGAAAACCCGAGGCUCAACCUCGGGCCUGCAGUCGAUACGGGCAAACUAGAGUACUGCAGGGGAGACUGGAAUUCCUGGUGUAGCGGUGAAAUGCGCAGAUAUCAGGAGGAACACCAAUGGCGAAGGCAGGUCUCUGGGCCACAACUGACGCUGAGGAGCGAAAGCGUGGGGAGCGAACAGG